GAUGAACGCUGGCGGCGUGCCUAAUACAUGCAAGUCGAGCGAACGGACGAGAAGCUUGCUUCCCUGAUGUUAGCGGCGGACGGGUGAGUAACACGUGGAUAACCUACCUAUAAGACUGGGAUAACUUCGGGAAACCGGAGCUAAUACCGGAUGAUAUUUUGAACCGCAUGGUUCAAAAGUGAAAGACGGUCUUGCUGUCACUUAUAGAUGGAUCCGCGCUGCAUUAGCUAGUUGGUAAGGUAGCGGCUUACCAAGGCAACGAUGCAUAGCCGACCUGAGAGGGUGAUCGGCCACACUGGAACUGAGACACGGUCCAGACUCCUACGGGAGGCAGCAGUAGGGAAUCUUCCGCAAUGGGCGAAAGCCUGACGGAGCAACGCCGCGUGAGUGAUGAAGGUCUUCGGAUCGUAAAACUCUGUUAUUAGGGAAGAACAUAUGUGUAAGUAACUGUGCACAUCUUGACGGUACCUAAUCAGAAAGCCACGGCUAACUACGUG
rnacentral:rRNA from 1 species